rnacentral:rRNA from 1 species
AGUCUGGUGCCAGCAGCCGCGGUAAUUCCAGCUCCAAUAGCGUAUAUUAAAGUUGUUGCAGUUAAAAAGCUCGUAGUUGUAUUUCGAGGGAUUGAAUGUAAACAGUUCUUUAGCCAAACUUUGUCCGCCGAAAGGCGUGCACGAGGUUUUAGCGUCCCUUUUGUGCUCGUAACAUUUUCAGUUGAUCUUUUUUGAAAGAUUGAAGAUGGGGCAUGUUAAUUUUCUAAAGACCUCUGUUUCGUUUAUUCGGGGCAGAUUUUCAGGGAUUUAGAUAUUUUACUUUGAAUAAAUAAGAGUGUUCAAAGCAGGCGUUUUUUGCUUGAAUUCAUCAGCAUGGAAUAAUGGAAUAAGAUUUUGGUCUUAUUUUGUUGGUUUCUAGGACCAAAGUAAUGAUUAAUAGGGAUAGUUGGGGUCGUUUAUAUUAAAUUGUCAGAGGUGAAAUUCUUGGAUUUAUUUAAGAUAAACUACUGCGAAAGCAUUCGGCAAGGAUGUUUUCAUUAAUCAAGAACGAAAGUUAGAGGAUCGAAGAUGAUUAGAUACCGUCGUAGUUUUAACAGUAAACGAUGCCGUCCGCCGAUAAUGAGGAUUUGUUAUUUCAAGACUCUUGUUGCAGGCAGAGAGAAAUCAGAGAUUUUGGGUUCCGGGGGGAGUAUAGUCGCAAGAACGAAACUUAAAGGAAUUGACGGAAGGGCACCACCAGGAGUGGAGCCUGCGGCUUAAUUUGACCCAACACGGGAAACUUUACCAGGUCCGGACAUUAUGAGGAUUGACAGAUUGAAAGCUCUUUCUUGAUUUGAUGGUUGGUGGUGCAUGGCCGUUCUUAGUUGGUGGUGUGAACCGUCUGCUUAAUUGCGAUAACGAGCGAGACCUUCAUUUGCUAAAUAGUUACGCUCAGGUUUUCACUUGGGUGGACAACUUCUUAGAAAGACUAACGGAGUUUUAUCCGUGGGAAGCUGGAGGCAAUAACAGGUCUGUGAUGCCCUUAGAUGUUCUGGGCCGCACGCGCGCUACACUGAAAAUAUCAACAAGUUCUUUGGUGUUUUAUUUCGGUCNGGGUAAUCUUCUGAAUCUUCAUCGUGAUGGGGAUAGAUCAUUGCAAUUGUUGGUCUACAACGAGGAAUUCCUAGUAAGCGCGAGUCAUCAGCUCGCGUUGACUACGUCCCUGCCCUUUGUACACACCGCCCGUCGCUCCUACCGAUUGAGAAUUCAGGUGAAAUAUCGGGAUUUUUACUCUU